rnacentral:rRNA from 1 species
AGCGAACGCUGGCGGCAGGCCUAACACAUGCAAGUCGAGCGACCCGCAAGGGGAGCGGCAGACGGGUGAGUAACACGUGGGAACGUGCCCUUCGGUUCGGAAUAGCCCGGGGAAACUCGGAGUAAUACCGGAUACGUCCGCAAGGAGAAAGAUUCAUCGCCGAAGGAUCGGCCCGCGUCUGAUUAGCUUGUUGGUGAGGUAACGGCUCACCAAGGCGACGAUCAGUAGCUGGUCUGAGAGGAUGAUCAGCCACACUGGGACUGAGACACGGCCCAGACUCCUACGGGAGGCAGCAGUGGGGAAUAUUGGACAAUGGGCGCAAGCCUGAUCCAGCCAUGCCGCGUGGGUGAUGAAGGCCCUAGGGUUGUAAAGCCCUUUCGGCGGGGAAGAUAAUGACGGUACCCGCAGAAGAAGCCCCGGCCAACUUCGUGCCAGCCGCCGCAGUAAUAC